GCGGCGAGCUGGCAGAAACGUUAAGCACGCCGCGCGGAAUGCUUAGCGGUAUUUCGUCUAUCUUUACAUUCUGAGUUCAAAUUCCGCCGAGGUCGAUUUUACCUUUCAUCCUUUCGGGUCGAUAAAUUAAGUACCAGUUGCGUACUGGGG